GCGCUCCCAGGCAGAGUACGAGCUCAGAGUUGGAGCUCAGAGUUGGAGCUCAGAGUUGGAGUGUAAUUCAGGAGAUGUGAUCAGUCAGGGCUGAGUGGAGCAGAGCGGCAGCCUUAGAGAAGAGCUGUACACAUACACAGCAGCAGCCCAGAGAGGCACACAGAGCCUUCUCCUUAAAUGGUCAAAGCUCCCAUGAGUGAAAGAGAGGCUGGUGCUGGAAAACAAGACAGGGAAAGGAAAGGAAAAGAGACAGCUAGGUUUUCUGUGAAAAAAUCUGGGAAUUACAGUUUGACUGAGGGAAGGUUCUGUCGGGUGUUUUAUGUGGAGUUUAUGUGGAGCUAAGCAGUGAAGGUGGUAUCUCUCACAGGAGGUUACAGAGCUGUGACGAUUCAGAGGCACCCUGCACUGAUAACAACAAAACAAGCCAAGUCCAAUGUCCUGACUUUGUGCAAGACCAAAAGCACAACAGUACCAGCAGUGAUGUUCCUGCACCUGCAUUUUUAGGUUCCAUCCCAGUGUCAGAGACACAAACGCCCCCAGUGUCCCCAUCACAAGUCUUCCUCCAGUACGAGUGUGCCCCUUCACUUACCGUCCCAACGGAUACACCCCCCCAGUCUGCCUGUGUCAGUCACGCUGCCGCUCACACUGAGGAGAAUGUAGCAGGUCUCAGAUCGGAGGAUCCUAGUUGCCGUGACUACUGUCAGUCAGAGGCCCGCGACUGUGGGAGUGGCCAAGCAUUGCCGCCUGGAGACUUUGGGAGGAGUCAGCCAUCAAACCCAGAAGACAGUGCUGGUAGUAAAGCCUCUGAACCAGAAGAUAGUGGGAGGAGCAAUGUAUUACAACCAACAGAUAUUGGGUGUGAUCUAGAGCAUUGUGGGAGUUUCCAUUCUCGAGAUCUACCGACUGUUUUAAUAACAGGCUCAGAUAAGGAAGGAGGGGGCCACGAGUUGUAUUGCUUUCCCUGGGUUCAGACUGAACAGCAGUUAGAGGAAUCCCCUACCCAACCCAUUCCAGCUGAGAGUCCCUUUUUUUUCCCCCUGACACGACCCC
rnacentral:lncRNA from 1 species